rnacentral:piRNA from 1 species
UCACACCAUGUAUGUGCACAGACACAAGUA